UGUUGAAUUAACCUAUACUCACUUCAUUUUAUUUAUAUAAUACAGUCCAUUUAGCAAAUUUUGUUUGAUGUGCAGUGACACGACCUUGACAGUCAAGAUGCUCUUUCAGGUUAUUUUCUCCUGAAACCACUUCUUUUGCCAUCUCCUAAUGUUAUGGUCCCAUUACAUCUCCAUUCAUUGCAGGAGUUGGUCCCAGUUACUUUACAUGGUUCUGUUGGACACAAUGAAGCCAUCCAGAUAUGCUAUUAAAAAUCCUGCUAGUCAUUAUGGCUUUAAACUGUACCAUGCCUGUUCUAUUUUCAGCUAGGCAAAGCAUGUUCUAUUUACAGCAGGCCAGCAGACACCAGGCAGUAAGGUGAUGUAUGAGUCAAUUAUCAGGAUGGAAAUGUUUUUUGGCAGCUUUCUCAGUGAAUCAGUAUCACCGCAAAACCUUUUUGGACACCCAGAUGUUGAGAGAUGCCCAUUCCUGAGGAAUAUCAAUGGAGCUACAACCUUUUCCCUCUCUUCUGCUUUGCCAGUAGCUGCUCAAGGAGGCAAGGGUCCAAUUUUUGAGGAAGGGUCAGGCUUUGAGUCAGCAUUCAAGCUUUUCCAUGGCCGAGAUGGAAUAUUUCCCCUUUCAGAAAGAUCAUAUGUAUCUGAUGAAAACCACAAUGAGAGCAUUGACGUCAAAUUAUAUACUUAGUUAGGCUCAAUUUAGAGUACACUUAUUUAUAUUGAACCGUCGGAGUUCAUACAUAUGUAUCAAGUUAUAUACUUAGUUAGGCUCAAUGUUAGCACAAACAGUUGAUGAGCAACUUUAAAUUUAGAGUACACUUAUGUAUGAGUUAUUUGACAAUGCUUAUUUAUGAGAUAUUGAAUGUUAUUUAUCUAUAUUAUA